rnacentral:rRNA from 1 species
UUCGCAAUGCCCGAAAGGGUGACGAAGCGACGCCGCGUGUGGGAAGAAGGCCUUCGGGUUGUAAACCACUGUCGGGAGUUAAGAAAUGUAAGGGUGUUAAUAGUAUCCUUACUUGACUAAGGCUCCGGAGGAAGCCACGGCUAACUCUGUGCCAGCAGCCGCGGUAAUACAGAGGCGGCAAGCGUUGUUCGGAAUUAUUGGGCGUAAAGAGCACGUAGGCGGCUAUGUAAGUCGGUUGUGAAAGCCUUCCGCUCAACGGAAGAACAGCAAUCGAUACUGCAUGGCUUGAGUGCGGGAGGGGAGAGCGGAACUUCUGGUGGAGCGGUGAAAUGCGUAGAUAUCAGAAGGAACGCCGGCGGCGAAAGCGACUCUCUGGCCCGUAACUGACGCUGAGUGUGCGAAAGCUAGGGGAACAAACGGGAUUAGGUACCCCGGUAGUCCUAGCCGUAAACGAUGGGCACUAAGUAGAGGGGUUUUA